CCUACGGGUGGCAGCAGUGAGGAAUAUUGGUCAAUGGACGAGAGUCUGAACCAGCCAAGUAGCGUGAAGGAUGACUGCCCUAUGGGUUGUAAACUGCUUUUAUAUGGGAAUAAAAUGUUUCACGUGUGGGAUUUUGUAUGUACCAUAUGAAUAAGGAUCGGCUAACUCCGUGCCAGCAGCCGCGGUAAUACGGAGGAUCCGAGCGUUAUCCGGAUUUAUUGGGUUUAAAGGGUGCGUAGGUGGUUAAUUAAGUCAGCGGUGAAAGUUUGUGGCUCAACCAUAAAAUUGCCGUUGAAACUGGUUGACUUGAGUAUGUUUGAGGUAGGCGGAAUGCGUGGUGUAGCGGUGAAAUGCAUAGAUAUCACGCAGAACUCCGAUUGCGAAGGCAGCUUACUGGACUGCAACUGACACUGAGGCUCGAAAGUGUGGGUAUCAAACAGGAUUAGAUACCCCUGUAGUC
rnacentral:rRNA from 1 species